CCCAAGGCAGAGGGUGGAGGGGCAGGGAGGACAAUCUAGAGCAAGUGACAUCUCAAGUGGCCUGAACGAUGGCAGGAGCCAGCUAAAUCAAGGGACACUAAAAGGAGAAAGUGUCACACCUUCAAGAAACUAAAAACCACUCAAUGAAAGGGAAGGAUGAGCUGUGUGAGGUCGGAGCGGCAAGGCAAGCAGAGGCUGGAUCCAACUGGCUUGACUCUGGACCUUAAGACACAGGCCUCAGCACCUGCUGUUCCUGUGCCACUGUGCAAAUAGGAAGCCUUCCAGGGCACCAGGCUGCCAAUGUCCUGAUGCAAAAGAUGGAACUGGGAUAAAGGGCUUAGAGGAAAGUUCCCAGACCUACUGAUUGGAAUCCAAGUCCCUUCUGUGCUGCUGCAACAGAAUACCUGAGACAGGGUAAUUUAUGAUGAAUAGAAAUUUGUU
rnacentral:lncRNA from 1 species